rnacentral:rRNA from 1 species
CAGUAGCCGCGGGAAUACGAAGGGGGCUAGCGUUGUUCGGAUUUACUGGGCGUAAAGGGCGCGUAGGCGGACUGAUAAGUCAGGGGUGAAAUCCCAAGGCUCAACCUUUGAACUGCCUUUGAUACUGUUUGUCUUGAGUUCGAGAGAGGUAAGUGGAACUGCGAGUGUAGAGGUGAAAUUCGUAGAUAUUCGCAAGAACACCAGUGGCGAAGGCGGCUUACUGGCUCGAAACUGACGCUGAGGCGCGAAAGCGUGGGGAGCAAACAGGAUUAGAUACCCCUGUAGUCCCUGUCUCUUAUAC